AUAGAAGCUAAUAGGUCAUCAGGAGAUCACUACGUACAGCUGUACAUGAAAAUAAAGUGAAGAAACUAUUUCUCCAGAAUUUUCAAAGCUUUUGUGAUUUUAAUUCUUAUCCCAAAGAUCGUAUAUGCUUAAUUUUGAAAACUGAACAUUUUAGAAAAGUAAUAGGAUUUCUUUGCUUCCUAAAUUUAAAAAUUGCUAUGCUUGGACUUCCCUGGUGGCACAGUGGUUAAGAAUCUGCCUGCCAAUGCAGGGGACACGGGUAUGAGCCCUGGUCCAGGAGGAUCCCACAUGCCACAGAGCAACUAAGCCUGCGAGCCACAGCUACUGAGCCUGUGCUCCAGAGUCCGUGAGCUACAACUACUGAGCCCACGUGCCACAACUCCUGAAGCCCAGGCACCUAGAGUCUGUGCUCUGCAACAAGAGAAGCCACUGCAAUGAGAACCCUGCACACCACAACGAAAAGUAGCCCCUGCUCACCACAACUAGAGAAAGCCCACGUGCAGCAAUGAAGACCCAAUGCAGCCAUAAAUAAAUAAAUAAAAUAAAUUAAAAAAAAAAAAGAAUUGCUAUGCUUCAUCAACUCCAUAUUUUUCUGGUUACGUCACUCCCCCAUUAGCUCUAUUACCUCCUUCUGGAAAUCUGACGCCUCUUCCUUUCCUUCAUGUCUCUUAUGCGUGGCUUCACCUUACCCAUCUGAUGUAUCUCUGGUGACAACUUUGUGUAACUUCUUGAUAUCUAUCUUUUAGUUCACUAAUUUACUUUCACAGUGUCCAAUCUGUUCUUUAAUCCUUCCUUUGAGUUUUUAAUGAUGACAUUUUCUAUUUUUAGAAGUUGCAUUUAAUGUUUUUCCCCUCAUGUUUACUUGGUCAUUU